rnacentral:rRNA from 1 species
UUGAGGAAGUAAAAGUCGUAACAAGGUUUCCGUAGGUGACCUGCGGAGGAUCAUUAACGAGUUUUGAAACGGGUUGUAGCUGGCCUUUCGAGGCAUGUGCACACCCUGCUCAUCCACUCUACACCUGUGCACUUACUGUAGGUGGGCGUGGGCUUCGGACCUCCGUGUUCGAGGCAUUCUGCCGCCCUAUGUACACUAUAAACUCCGAAGUAACAGAAUGUAAACGCGUCUAACGCAUCUUAAUACAACUUUCAGCAACGGAUCUCUUGGCUCUCGCAUCGAUGAAGAACGCAGCGAAAUGCGAUAAGUAAUGUGAAUUGCAGAAUUCAGUGAAUCAUCGAAUCUUUGAACGCACCUUGCGCUCCUUGGUAUUCCGAGGAGCAUGCCUGUUUGAGUGUCAUGAAAUUCUCAACCCAUAGAUCCUUGUGGUCUACGGGCUUGGAUUUGGAGGCUUGCCGGCCCUUACACGGGGUCGGCUCCUCUUGAAUGCAUUAGCUUGAUUCCGUGCGAAUCGGCUCUCAGUGUGAUAAUUGUCUACGCUGUGGCCGUGAAGCGUUUGGCGAGCUUCUAACCGUCCGUUAGGACAACUUCUUGACAUCUGACCUCAAAUCAGGUAGGACUACCCGCUGAACUUAAGCAUAUCAUAG